rnacentral:misc_RNA from 1 species
GAAAUGCGAUACGUAGUGUGAAUUGCAGAAUUCAGUGAAUCAUCGAAUCUUUGAACGCACAUUGCGCCCUUUGGUAUUCCAAAGGGCAUGCCUGUUCGAGCGUCAUUUGUACCCUCAAGCUUUGCUUGGUGUUGGGCGUCUUGUCUCCAGUUCGCUGGAGACUCGCCUUAAAGUCAUUGGCAGCCGGCCUACUGGUUUCGGAGCGCAGCACAAGUCGCACUCUCUAUCAAGACCAUUUUUUCACUCUUGACCUCGGAUCAGGUAGGGAUACCCGCUGAACUUAA